GCAAUAAUUUACAUAUGCAAUUAUCAACAUGUGACACUCAUUGUGCAAGCACAUUGUCCCACCCCAUAGCCAGAAACAACCCAUCUCUGCACAUAACCCACUCUAAUGUUUGCUGCACUACACAACAUGAGGUGUUUGAGGUUGAGUCUCUGCAUUCUGACAAUACAAUGGCUUUUGACUUCAUGUGUGCAGGUCAUACAGGUCCACCAGGAUCCAGAGAAACUGAUUAUUUCCCAAGGAUCACCACUGAAAAUUUCCUGUUCUGUAAAUGGUACUAACCCCUAUCUUUACUGGUACCACUGGAACGAGACAGCAGGGUUCACAUUGGUCUUCACCUCUACUACUGCUGGUUUAGUGAAUCCAGCCAGUGUGGGCCAGUUUAAAUCUUACAGACAUAAAGAUCUCCAGAUCCUUCUGGGAUCUGAUGGAGUGACUGAGAUCGGCUCUUCAGUGUGGUAUUGUGCAGCCACUCCCCACAGCAUCCCAGUGUCAUUAUAGAGCUGUACAAAAACCACAUCUCAUUAAGACUAGGGCUCUCAAACACACAGUUUUGCAUACAUACAUUUCACACUGCUGGGAUCAUAUAAAUGUGUGUAACUCAUGUAGUCCCAUGUUUGCUUCAACAGUGAUGGAUCUGAUUGUUGUCUGAAGAUUCAGGGUGAGAGAUUCAACAGCAAACAAACAAAAAAGAAACAUUUUUUUUGUAACAGAGAUGGUGUAGUUAAUCUACUCACAGGUCAUAUUUGUACCAAAGUUGCUUGAUUACACCC